UUACGGAUCUUUAUUAUAUUUUUUUAUAGGAUCUUUUUCAAAAUGAUAAAUUCUUAAAACCAAUAUAUUUUUGAAGUAAAAUAGAAGGUAAAAUCCUUUUCCUUGUCGUAACUGCAAGUUCAUGGGCUUAUUGGUCUCCAUAAACUGCCUAACCUUUGAGCUAUAAUUUUCAUUCUUUUAAACCCUAAACUCCCCAUUUUCUUCUUCUUUAAUAACGCACAAAAUUAAGUAACAACAAUAACAUAGCAACAACACCAUCUCUCAACAUAUUUUUGUUUUCGAUCGGAUUCGCCCAGUUCUGAAUCACGAGUUUCAUUGCUUAAUCAAAUGAAUUCUUCCUCGUAGGAGUUUGAAAGACAAUCUGCGUCAUCUACUGUAACUGUGUAAAUGAAGGUAGACGGCAGCGAUUCUGCGAUAUGGCGAGGUUCCAGGUGGGCGUCGAUUCUGCGAUUUGGCGAGGUUACAGGGGGCCGGUGAUCCUGCGAUUUGGCGAGGAUUCAGGUUCCCUGCGAUUCUGCGAUUUGGCGAGGUUUCAGGUGGCCGGCGAUUCUGCGAUUUGGUUGGUGAUUAUGCGAUUUGGCGAGGUUUCAGGUGGCCAGCGAUUCUGCGAUUUUGCGAGGUUUCAGGUGGCCGCGAAGGAAGGAUACUUGAAUAGAUUGGCGAAUCAUCUAGGCGUCGCGAAGGAUUAGCUGAUCAGCGCUAUAAUUUGACAGAGGCAUUGCUAUUUCUAUCACAUUUCGUGGGUGAUAUUCAUCAGCUAAUGCAUUUUGCGGAUACCAACGAUAAAGGAGGAAAUCUAUUGAUUUACGGUGGUUUAGGCAUGAUCUAAUCUCCAUGUAUGUUUUCAACUGCGAUUUACAAUUUGAAGGAAUUAUGAAUUAAUCGCAUACUUAAGAGUUGUGGUUGAAAUGGGGUUGAUAAUUGAGAUGUGUGUUUUUUCCAACGGUGGAGGUGCGUGGGUUGCAAAGUACUUACUGGAAGGUGGAUUUCCAAAAAUGUUGAGUUUCUAGGUGGCCAGGUUUUGAUAGACUUCCAGGAGAACCCGAAGGAUGCACAAGAUCAUAUGAAGAAUCCAAUGGUGAUGAAUAAGAUCAAGAAGGUUGUUAGUGCUGGAAUUGUACGAGUUAAAUGAUUUGGAAUUAAUUGAUAUAUUUUUGGGAACAAUAAUAUAGCUUUGGCAUUUGAUUUAUUUGCACUGCCCAACUAUGUAAUUGCACUAAUUGGUGGAUCAAUCUAGUAUAAUUCUUGUUAAAAUUUGAACUUUAAUUUCAAUGAGAGGUUUUGUUUAUGUCGUCA